rnacentral:rRNA from 4 species
GGGGACGUAACAAAGCGACCCAGGAAUACUUGGGCGUGCCUCCACCCACGCCGGCGUCGGCGGGCGUAUUUCGCCUCACAGUAGGUCGCCGCGACCCGUUGCUUUUGGGGACGUCGAAGGCCCGGACGGAUUGGUACCCUACCGGCUGGGGAUGCGGCUUCGGCUUCUCCUCUUGUCCGGUGGGCGAAACCGCCGGUGUCCUGGCUGCCCUGCGACGGUCGUAGAGACGAGCCCCUCCCAUUCGUGGGGGGCGGCUCUCGCGGCGUGCAAAAGGUCGGUGAUCCACCCGACCCGUCUUGAAACACGGACCAAGGAGUCUAACAUGUGUGCGAGUCAGUGGGCGCACUAAACCCAGAGGCGUAAUGAAAGUGACACGGGUUCGGCUGUCGCCUCGUGUGGCAGCCGGACUCAGGGCCGAUCCCUCACCGGUUGCCCUCGCCUCUCUCCCGCGUCUCGGUAAGCCGGGUGAGCUAUUUUCCCCGGCCGCUGCUGCGGGGCGCGGGGGGUGGCGGGGUGCGAUGGUGUCCGUAAAAAAGAGCCUGCUGUUGCAGGGGGGCGCAGGCCCGGGACUUGCCAGGACGCCGCGAGACUGUCACUUUGCUGUGAGGCUCCAGGGCCGAUCAGCGGGUCAUGCGUGCAGUCGGCAAGUACCAUGAGCAGACAUGUUGGGACCCGAAAGAUGGUGAACUAUGCCUGGCCAGGAUGAAGCCAGAGGAAACUCUGGUGGAGGUCCGUAGCGAUUCUGACGUGCAAAUCGAUCGUCGGAGCUGGGUAUAGGGGCGA